rnacentral:rRNA from 1 species
UCUGCUCAAUGAUUAAUUAAAUAGCCGCAGUAAUUUGACUGUGCGAAGGUAGCAUAAUCAUUAGUUUUUUAAUUGAAGACUGGAAUGAAAGAGGGGAUGAAAUUUCAACUGUCUCUAUAUUAAUAAUUGAAUUUUAUUUUAAGUAAAAAUUCUUAAAUUUUUUUAAGGGACGAGAAGACCCUAUAGAAUUUUAUAAUUUAAUUAAAUAUUUGAUUUAAAUUUAUAAUUAUAUUUUUAAUUAAAUUAUUUGAUUGGGAGGAUUAUUAAAUUUAUUUAACUUUAAUUUUUGUUUAAUUUUUAUGAAAAGAUUUUUGAGUUAAAAUUAAUUAAUAUAAGAAAAAUUACCUUAGGGAUAACAGCGUUAUAUUUUUGGAGAGAUCUUAUUAAUAAAAAUGAUUGCGACCUCGAUGUUGAAUUAAAAUAAAAUUUGAAUGAAGAAGUUCAAUAUUUG